CAGCAGAGAUGUUUCUGUACCUUCCCAGAUUUGUGCCUCCAGGCAAGCCUGCCUCAGAGGUCUACAGACAAUUCCUUUGACUUCAUGCUUGGUUUGUGCUCUGACUGUCAGCUGUGGGACCUUCUAUUUAGACGGAGGACAAACCAAGAG